rnacentral:misc_RNA from 1 species
GAUGAAGAACGCAGUGAAAUGCGAUAAGUAGUGUGAAUUGCAGAAUUUAGUGAAUCAUCGAAUCUUUGAACGCACAUUGCGCCCUAUAGUAGCCUAUAGGGCAUGCCUGUCUGAGCGUCAUCUAAAACAUGUCAAGCCUAGCUUGGUUAUGGGAGUGUUGGGUACAACUCUCCUUAAAAGUAUUGGUGGCUUGAUAUUUAGCUUUGGGCGCAGUAAAUGAGCCCAGUUAACUUCUAUAUGUCCACUAGUCUACCAACAUACUUGACCUCAGAUCAGGUAGGGAUACCCGCUGAACUUAAGCAUAUCAAUAAGCGGAGGA